AGCGGCGGAUGGGUGAGUAACACGUGGGGAACCUGCCCCUAAGUCUGGGAUACCAUUUGGAAACAGGUGCUAAUACCGGAUAAUAAAGCAGAUCGCAUGAUCAGCUUUUGAAAGGCGGCGUAAGCUGUCGCUAAGGGAUGGCCCCGCGGUGCAUUAGCUAGUUGGUAAGGUAACGGCUUACCAAGGCGACGAUGCAUAGCCGAGUUGAGAGACUGAUCGGCCACAUUGGGACUGAGACACGGCCCAAACUCCUACGGGAGGCAGCAGUAGGGAAUCUUCCACAAUGGACGCAAGUCUGAUGGAGCAACGCCGCGUGAGUGAAGAAGGUUUUCGGAUCGUAAAGCUCUGUUGUUGGUGAAGAAGGAUAGAGGUAGUAGCUGGCCUUUAUUUGACGGUAAUCAACCAGAAAGUCACGGCUAACUACGUGCCAGCAGCCGCGGUAAUACGUAGGUGGCAAGCGUUGUCCGGAUUUAUUGGGCGUAAAGCGAGCGCAGGCGGAAAAAUAAGUCUAAUGUGAAAGCCCUCGGCUUAACCGAGGAACUGCAUCGGAAACUGUUUUUCUUGAGUGCAGAAGAGGAGAGUGGAACUCCAUGUGUAGCGGUGGAAUGCGUAGAUAUAUGGAAGAACACCAGUGGCGAAGGCGGCUCUCUGGUCUGCAACUGACGCUGAGGCUCGAAAGCAUGGGUAGCGAACAGGAUUAGAUACCCUGGUAGUCCAUGCCGUAAACGAUGAGUGCUAAGUGU
rnacentral:rRNA from 1 species